rnacentral:rRNA from 1 species
AUGUCCGGCAAGGGUUGCCUCCCUGAGGGCGAGCUCGCCGCGCUGUCCAGGGUCUGCCGCGACGGGGCCGCGGCGGCGCGGCUCAAGACGGGCUCCCUGCUCGCAAUCCUCAUCGCCAGCGCCGUCGGCGUCUGCCUCCCCGUCGCGCUCACCAGGGCCUUCCGGGGCCGGGACGGGUACGCGCGGGGCCUGCUCCUCGUCAAGUGCUACGCGGCCGGGGUCAUCCUCUCCACCUCCCUCGUCCACGUCCUCCCGGACGCCUACGCGGCGCUCGCCGACUGCGCCGUCGCGUCGCGCCGGCCCUGGAAGGACUUCCCCUUCGCGGGGCUCCUCUGCCUCGUCGGCGCGCUGCUCGCGCUCCUCGUCGACCUCUCCGCCUCGUCGCACCUCGAAGCCCACGGCCACCAGCAGCCGCAGCAGGAGGAGGGCCAGCCCUACGCCCCAAUCCCCACCACCAAGAAGGCCCCCGCCUUCGAGCUCACCGGCGAAAUGAGCCCCAGGAAACGCGCUUUCCUGGACGAGAGUGACCGCGACGACAAGAAUGGCGGCGACCCGGACCGGGACGACGUGGCGCUCUUCGGUCCCAAGAAAGGCGCCCGGCUGCCCCGCAGCGAUGAGCCCGUGGUCCCUGUUGUCGGGUGCCAUGGCGCUGGGCAUGAGGUGGUGGAGGUCGGGGAGGGGGAGGAGGAGGAGGCGAGGAAGAAGCAGAAGAUGGUGUCCAAGGUGCUGGAGAUUGGGAUAGUGUUCCAUUCCGUCAUCAUUGGGGUGACCUUGGGGAUGUCGCAGGACGUCUGCGCCAUCCGGCCGCUCGUCGUCGCGCUCUCCUUCCACCAGGUCUUCGAGGGGAUGGGCCUAGGCGGCUGCAUCGCACAGGCUGGUUUCGGAAUGGCAACAGUGGGUUACAUGUGCAUAAUGUUCUCGGUGACAACACCAUUGGGAAUACUUCUUGGGAUGGCAGUCUUCCAUAUGACUGGUUAUGACGAUAGCAGUCCAAAUGCCCUAAUAAUUGAGGGCCUUCUUGGUUCACUCUCUGCCGGAAUCCUUGUCUACAUGGCGCUCGUGGACCUCAUUUCUCUUGAUUUCUUCCACAACAAGAUGAUGUCAUCAUCUCUGAAACUGAAGAAGGCCUCUUAUAUUGCAUUGGUGCUUGGAUCUGCUUCUAUGUCGAUAUUAGCUCUCUGGGCAUAG